UACGAAGGGGGCUAGCGUUGCUCGGAAUCACUGGGCGUAAAGGGUGCGUAGGCGGGUUUUUAAGUCAGGGGUGAAAUCCUGGAGCUCAACUCCAGAACUGCCUUUGGUACUGAAGAUCUUGAGUCCGGGAGAGGUGAGUGGAACUGCGAGUGUAGAGGUGAAAUUCGUAGAUAUUCGCAAGAACACCAGUGGCGAAGGCGGCUCACUGGCCCGGUACUGACGCUGAGGCACGAAAGCGUGGGGAGCAAACAGG
rnacentral:rRNA from 1 species